UGGACAGAACAGGUUCAGAAUAUAGGGACGUACAUGGACAUGGACAGAACAGGUUCAGAAUAUAGGGACGUACAUGGACAGAAUGGGUUCAGAAUAUAGGGACGUACAUGGACAGAAUGGGUUCAGAAUAUAGGGACGUACAUGGACAGAAUGGGUUCAGAAUAUAGGGACGUACAUGGACAUGGACAGAACAGGUUCAGAAUAUAGGGACGUACAUGGACAGAAUGGGUUCAGAAUAUAGGGACGUACAUGGACAGAAUGGGUUCAGAAUAUAGGGACGUACAUGGACAGAAUGGGUUCAGAAUAUAGGGACGUACAUGGACAGAAUGGGUUCAGAAUAUAGGGACGUACAUGGACAGAAUGGGUUCAGAAUAUAGGGACGUACAUGGACAGAAUGGGUUCAGAAUAUAGGGACAUACAUGGACAGAAUGGGUUCAGAAUAUAGGGACGUACAUGGACAGAAUGGGUUCAGAAUAUAGGGACGUACAUGGACAGAAUGGGUUCAGAAUAUAGGGACGGACAUGGACAGAAUGGGUUCAGAAUAUAGGGACGGACAUGGACAGAAUGGGUUCAGAAUAUAGGGACGUACAUGGACAGAAUGGGUUCAGAAUAUAGGGACGUACAUGGAC